UGUAAAAAAUGAUACUGCAAGAAAAAAUAGAAAAACUUUAUUAGUUUCAUAAUAAUUCCUAAUUGCUUCAGGCCUUGAGCUACUACAUUAGAUUGGAUUACACUAUCAAAUUGCUCCCUUCAAAUAAAUUCUGCUUCUUGGUUGACAAUCCUAAUGAAUGAGCUAUGGAUUUGACUUCCGCGAUCAUUGCUACCUGAUCGUUGAGCUUGUUGAUGGCUGAGCCAACACCCACGCCAGCAGCUCCAGCUACGAUUGCCAUUGGUGCUGUGACUGCACUCAAUCCAGAUGAACACAUGACGGG
rnacentral:misc_RNA from 1 species